AGAGUUUGAUCCUGGCUCAGAACGAACGCUGGCGGCGUGCUUAACACAUGCAAGUCGAACGGGUUUAUUGGAUGUAGCAAUACAUUCAAUAGAUUAGUGGCGCACGGGUGAGUAACACGUAGGCAACCUACCCUUCAGUGGGGGACAACAGAGGGAAACUUCUGCUAAUACCGCAUACGGCCUUGUACUGGGAUGUACGAGGAGAAAGGAUUUAUUCGCUGAGGGAUGGGCCUGCGGCCUAUCAGGUAGUUGGUGGGGUAAAGGCCUACCAAGCCUGCGACGGGUAGCCGGACUGAGAGGUCGACCGGCCACACUGGAACUGAGACACGGUCCAGACUCCUACGGGAGGCAGCAGUGGGGAAUAUUGCACAAUGGGGGAAACCCUGAUGCAGCGACGCCGCGUGGAGGAUGACGGCCUUCGGGUUGUAAACUCCUUUUGUCAGGGACAAUGGUGAUGGUACCUGACGAAUAAGCCACGGCUAACUCUGUGCCAGCAGCCGCGGUAAGACAGAGGUGGCGAGCGUUGUUCGGAAUUACUGGGCUUAAAGGGCGCGUAGGCGGUGGUGUAGUCUGGGGGUGGAAUGCUACAGCUCAACUGUAGAGCUGCCUUGGAAACUG
rnacentral:rRNA from 1 species